UCUAAAAACAUUUCGGCUACUGGAGGAUCAAGUUUGGUGGCGCUAUUUUCUACAAAAGCUCCUCUAAACAUUCUAACCUUUCUCCAAACUUCUGACGGCUUCUGAACAUUCAGAAUCCCACCAUGGAGGACUGGGAAUAUUAAAUUUAGAGGACUUCUUAUGUGGAAAUACUUCAUCAGCUAUAUUAAUUAUAAACUUAGCAAAGGCAUCAGAAGUUUUAAACAAAUGUUCCAAGAUACAUCAGGCAAUUCUUCCAACCUCUCAUCCAUAUGUUUACGAAACUUAUCCCAAUCUGCAUUUUGAAGUUUAUAUGCUAACAGUGGAGAUCUUUUAAAAAAUGGUUUGUUUUUAGAAGGAAAAGAAAUGACAAUCGGAGAAUGAUCACUGCCAUAGGACAGAGGGAGUACCUCCCAGAGUAAGGAGUGUGCAAUGGAAGAGCUACAAAUUGAUAAGUCUAAUGCACUAGGAUUCUCAUUGGGAGCAGACCGACGCGUGGGAACACCUGAGUUCAAUAUAUAUAAAUCAUAAUACUC